rnacentral:lncRNA from 1 species
GGCAGAGUCAUUUUCAUGCAGAAGAGGAACUCCAGCAUUUUCUCUAAAAAGUCCUGGAUGUGGCCCACAUCCCCAGUGCCAUCCCGCGGGUGUCUCUCUUUCCACCCAGCUCUUGCUUCUUGCCACUUCUGACACUUACACGUUCUCCCACUGGGAUCCCCGCCUAGCCUGCCUAUGGGACUUCUUGAGGACACAAGCAUUACUUCCUGCCGGGGCUCAAAUCUAGCCAAGGAAUACUGAAUGAAUCAGCUACAAACACAAUGAUUCUCCACUGCUGUUUCUUUGGAAAUGAAAUGCUAAAUUGGUGAAGGGCGAUGGGAAAGAGUUAUGGGAAGCAAGAAGGAGCCAAUGAGGGUCCACAGUGCAGCUGUACUAUAGGAUUCCUGAAAGAGCAGUCAGCAUAAGGUCAACUGUAACACCGUGGAGACCAAGGUAGUCUCGACUCAGCAUUCCCGGAGAUGACAGCAGAGAUGGUAGAACAACCACAGCUAUUUAGAUGGACCUGACGCCAACCUGGAAUGUCCAGAAAUCCUGAAUGUGCGGGCAAGGGGUGUGCUGAUCAUGCUGGUGAGCAUUCUGUUUUGUAAAAGUAUAUUGCAAUCCUGAUUGUUUCAAUUCUCUUAAAAAUUAGUUUUGCGCAGUCCUACAAGUAAUUUCUCUGCUGCCUUUUUUUUCUUCCUGACAAUGGUAGAUCCAGGGUCACAAUAAACUCCAUCCAGAACCAGCUUUCUGGAGUGGCCAACUGUUCCUUUCAUUAUAAUCUAG